rnacentral:rRNA from 2 species
UUGACCUCAAAUCAGGUAGGAUUACCCGCUGAACUUAAGCAUAUCAAUAAGCGGAGGAAAAGAAACCAACAGGGAUUGCCUUAGUAACGGCGAGUGAAGCGGCAAAAGCUCAAAUUUGAAAUCUGGCACCUUCGGUGUCCGAGUUGUAAUUUGAAGAAGGUAACUUUGGAGUCAGCUCUUGUCUAUGUUCCUUGGAACAGGACGUCACAGAGGGUGAGAAUCCCGUGCGAUGAGAUGUCUGAUUCUAUGUAAAGUGCUUUCGAAGAGUCGAGUUGUUUGGGAAUGCAGCUCUAAGUGGGUGGUAAAUUCCAUCUAAAGCUAAAUAUUGGCGAGAGACCGAUAGCGAACAAGUACAGUGAUGGAAAGAUGAAAAGAACUUUGAAAAGAGAGUGAAAAAGUACGUGAAAUUGUUGAAAGGGAAGGGUUUGAGAUCAGACUUGGUAUUUUGUAUGUCUUGCUUUCGGGUGGGGCCUCUACAGUUUACUGGGCCAGCAUCGGUUUGGAUGGUAGGAUAAUGACAUUGGAAUGUGGCACCACUUCGGUGGUGUGUUAUAGACUUUGUUGAUACUGCCUGUCUAGACCGAGGACUGCGUCUUUGACUAGGAUGCUGGCAUAAUGAUCCUAAACCGC